UUUUUCAGUUAUCGCAAUUUCUGAGACGUGGUUGAAAGAGGAGCAUAUGGACACUGUCCAGUUUGAGGGUUAUGAUUUCUUUCCUAUAAAUAGGAUGAAUAAACGGGGUGGUGGUGUGGCACUUUAUUAGAUGUAAUUAUUU